GACGAACGCUGGCGCGUGCUUUAACCCUGCAAAUCGGAACGGAAAGGCUCAACUUGCCUGGGGACCUCAAUGGGCAACCGGGUGAGUAACCCGUGGGUGAUCUGCCCUGAACUUCGGGUUAGGCCGGGGAAACUGGGUUUAUUACCGGAUAGGCCCGCAUUUGGGGGGGUGGGGUGGAAAGGUUUUUCUGGUGUGGGAUGAGCUCGCGGCCUAUCAGUUUGUUGGUGGGGUAAUGGCCUACCAAGACGGCGACGGGUAGCCGGCCUGAGAGGGUGGACGGUCACAUUGGGACUGAGAUACGGCCCAGACUCCUACGGGAGGCAGCAGUGGGGAAUAUUGCACAAUGGGGGAAACCCUGAUGCAGCGACGCCGCGUGGGGGAUGAAGGCCUUCGGGUUGUAAACUCCUUUCGCUAGGGACGAAGCUUUUUGUGACGGUACCUGGAGAAGAAGCACCGGCUAACUACGUG
rnacentral:rRNA from 1 species